rnacentral:lncRNA from 10 species
ACCACAUGGACCAUCCCUUGCUUCAAUCAUAGAAUUCUUUCUUCAGAUCAAAGUAUAUUCAGACACUCGAUACAGUAACAAAAGCAAGCUAUCCUGGAAGGAAGAAGGAAUCAGGAGGCAGAGCACAUGGUUAAAGCAUGAGAUGUGAAACCAGGAAGAACCAGGUCUGAACCUUAGCUCCACCAGUGGUAGCUUCAAACCUUGGUCCUUUCUGAGCCUGCUUCUUCAACCGUAAGGAACUCGGAAACGGGACCCAGAAAGUUGUUUUCUCAAGUGGAUGGAACAACACAAGCAAUCAGUAUCCUGAAACAGGCCCUGUUCCAACAAACUGACCCAGAAAGCAAGUAUGAGGACUCCUGUUUCCCUACGUACUCACUACUACAGCAAAGAUAUCAAACAUUGAUACCCACCAAUCUCUGGAUGGAAAAACAAAUCUCAGGGAAAAGCACUUGGGACCCGCCAAACGGAGGAUGCAAAAAGGGGUGUCUAACACUGUACCCCUCCCUCCCGCUUACCCAGCAAUGGGGGAGAAAAAGUCGCUGGGCAUGGCAUACCACCGUUCACCAACGCCGUGGGCAGCAGGAACAAAUAAGAGCUGUAGUGCUUCUUGAGAGCCCAGACCUCGAGACUCUCCAAAACAGGGUUGUAAUAUGCCCCUGCUCACCAAGCCCUUGGCAGUGGGAACUGAGCUGUGACAUCCUUGGGGCUCUGCAGUUCCUGGCAUCUCCGAGUUUUCAGGCACCACCACAU